UGGGGAAUUUUGGACAAUGGGCGAAAGCCUGAUCCAGCAAUGCCGCGUGUGUGAAGAAGGCCUUCGGGUUGUAAAGCACUUUUGUCCGGAAAGAAAUCCUUGGCUCUAAUACAGUCGGGGGAUGACGGUACCGGAAGAAUAAGCACCGGCUAACUACGUGCCAGCAGCCGCGGUAAUACGUAGGGUGCAAGCGUUAAUCGGAAUUACUGGGCGUAAAGCGUGCGCAGGCGGUUUGCUAAGACCGAUGUGAAAUCCCCGGGCUCAACCUGGGAACUGCAUUGGUGACUGGCAGGCUAGAGUAUGGCAGAGGGGGGUAGAAUUCCACGUGUAGCAGUGAAAUGCGUAGAGAUGUGGAGGAAUACCGAUGGCGAAGGCAGCCCCUGGGCCAAUACUGACGCUCAUGCACGAAAGCGUGGGGAGCAAACAGGAUUAGAUACCCUGGUAGUCCACGCCCAAACGAUGUCAACUAGUUGUUGGGGAUUCAUUUCCUUAGUAACGUGCUAACGCGUGAAGUUGACCGCCUGGGGAGUACGGUCGCAAGAUUAAAACUCAAAUGAAUUGACGGGGUCAUAGCUGUUUCCU
rnacentral:rRNA from 1 species